UACGAAGGGUGCAAGCGUUACUCGGAAUUACUGGGCGUAAAGCGUGCGUAGGUGGUUUGUUAAGUCUGUUGUGAAAGCCCCGGGCUCAACCUGGGAAUGGCAAUGGAUACUGGCAAGCUAGAGUGCGGUAGAGGGUAGUGGAAUUCCCGGUGUAGCGGUGAAAUGCGUAGAGAUCAGGAGGAACACCUGUGGUGUAGACAGCUUACUGGACGAUAACUGACGCUGAGGCACGAAAGCGUGGGUAGCAAACAGG
rnacentral:rRNA from 1 species